GCCCCUCGGCCUGGGAAACGGGGCGUGGCCAGAAAGGGGGCCGCCCCCUCGCCC
rnacentral:rRNA from 1 species